UUUCAUCUUUCAGAGGUUUCCAUAAAAAGUGCAGUCCCCCGAGAGAUGGAGUAAUUCCUCACCUUCACACCUAGCAGACUAUCAGCACACGUCUUUGCCAGAAGAACUGGUCGGGGCCAUCAUUGUUAUUAAAUCUGUAGAGAUUCUGGCCCGUGUUCACUGAAAUCCAGCUUCCGUCAGUGCUUCCCCUGUUUCCAGCACUCCAGCAGAGCAGAU
rnacentral:lncRNA from 1 species